GUAUACAUUUCAUUGCCCUGCGUUCUUUAUAUGUGCACAGUGUUAUUUCUUAUGUGCUAUUUAAAUAGUUAAAGGUUAAUUAGCAGCAUAAAUAGUAAUGCUGCCAGUCUUCUUCAGACAAAA